GACGAACGCUGGCGGCGUGCUUAACACAUGCAAGUCGAACGGAAAGGCCCCCAUCUUGGUGGGGGUGCUCGAGUGGCGAACGGGUGAGUAACACGUGGGUGAUCUGCCCUGUACUUCGGGAUAAGCUUGGGAAACUGGGUCUAAUACCGGAUAGGACCAUGGUUUAGUGUCUCAUGGUGGAAAGAUUAUUGUUUUGGUGCAGGAUGAGCUCGCGGCCUAUCAGCUUGUUGGUGGGGUAAUGGCCUACCAAGGCGUCGACGGGUAGCCGGCCUGAGAGGGUGGACGGCCACAUUGGGACUGAGAUACGGCCCAGACUCGUACGGGAGGCAGCAGUGGGGAAUAGUGCACAAUGGGCGCAAGCCUGAUGCAGCGACGCCGCGUGGGGGAUGACGGCCUUCGGGUUGUAAACUCCUUUCGUUAGGGACGAAGCCGCACUUUUUUUGGGUGUGGUGACGGUACCUUUGUUAAGAAGCACCGGCUAACUACGUG
rnacentral:rRNA from 1 species